GUGAGGAAUAUUGGUCAAUGGACGAGAGUCUGAACCAGCCAAGUAGCGUGAAAGAUGACUGCCCUAUGGGUUGUAACUUCUUUUAUAAGGGAAUAAAGUGAGGGACGUGUCCCUUUUUGUAUGUACCUUAUGAAUAAGGAUCGGCUAACUCCGUGCCAGCAGCCGCGGUAAUACGGAGGAUCCAAGCGUUAUCCGGAUUUAUUGGGUUUAAAGGGAGCGUAGGUUGACAUAUAAGUCAGCUGUGAAAGUUUACGGCUCAACCGUGAAAUUGCAGUUGAUACUGUAUGUCUUGAGUGUACAAGAGGUGGGCGGAAUUCGUGGUGUAGCGGUGAAAUGCUUAGAUAUCACGAAGAACUCCAAUUGCGAAGGCAGCUCACUGGGGUACAACUGACACUGAGGCUCGAAAGUGUGGGUAUCAAACAGGAUUAGAAACCCGGGUAGUCC
rnacentral:rRNA from 1 species